GAUGAACGCUAGCGGCAGGCCUAACACAUGCAAGUCGAGGGGCAUCAGGAACAAUAGCAAUAUUGUUUGCUGGCGACCGGCGCACGGGUGCGUAACACGUAUGCAACCUACCUCAUACAGGGGCAUAGCCCAGAGAAAUCUGGAUUAAUUCCCCAUAAUAUAUAGAUAAGGCAUCUUAUUUAUAUUAAAGUUUCGGCGGUAUGAGAUGGGCAUGCGUCCAAUUAGCUAGUUGGUGAGGUAAAGGCUCACCAAGGCUACGACUGGUAGGGGGUCUGAGAGGAUGAUCCCCCACACUGGUACUGAGACACGGACCAGACUCCUACGGGAGGCAGCAGCGAGGAAUAUUGCGCAAUGGAGGAAACUCUGACGCAGCCAUGCCGCGUGAAGGAUUGAAUGCCCUAUGGGUUGUAAACUUCUUUUGUACGGGAAUAAACCCUUGCUCGUGAGCGAGGUUGAAGGUACCGUAAGAAUAAGCACCGGCUAACUCCGUGCCAGCAGCCGCGGUAAUACGGAGGGUGCAAGCGUUAUCCGGAUUUAUUGGGUUUAAAGGGUCCGUAGGCGGAUCGUUAAGUCAGUGGUGAAAGCCCACAGCUCAACUGUGGAACUGCCAUUGAUACUGGCGAUCUUGAGUGCGUGUGAAGUUAGCGGAAUGUGUGGUGUAGCGGUGAAAUGCUUAGAUAUCACACAGAACACCAAUUGCGAAGGCAGCUGGCUAACACGCAACUGACGCUGAGGGACGAAAGUGUGGGGAUCAAACAGGAUUAGAUACCCUGGUAGUCCACACCGUAAACGAUGAUUACUAGAUUUUGGCCGCAAGGUCAGAGUCCAAGCGAAAGUGUUUAGUAAUCCACCUGGGGAGUACGUCCGCAAGGAUG
rnacentral:rRNA from 1 species